rnacentral:lncRNA from 1 species
AUGAUGCCGACUCGGGACGGACAAGACCUCUCUGCCUCACUGAUGCGGAACAGAUCAAAUGAUGGGAGAGAAAGAAAAAAACCCCUCUGCGUUUCUGACGUUUGGACCCGUUUACCGUACGUUCUUGUCUGUCUUGUGAUCCCUGAGCCCUCGAGCUACAGGCUUUCUUGGCACAACUUCUUACCACACACAGUUUUUUUAUUCUCCUCACCGAGGGUUUGCCGGAGAUCCUCCGAAGUCCUCGCGGUAAAAUUUUUUAACUCGGUCCAAAUCCACAUUGUGAACGCACAGGUCACGAAAAUGAAACGGACUCCUUAAAGGAACAAAUCUGUGCCGAAAACAUCUGGAAAUAAUUGGCAGUGCACCUUUAACUCCUCGGUGCUGUUUUUUUCUUCUGUAAUCCACUGUAUUCACAACGCGACGUUGAACAAAGGGUGUGGGUAUUGUAGAAUUGUAGAAUAUUGAACAUUUUCUGGAAUCUUGCCCGUGUCAAGGUCACGAGUCGAAGUGACAAGUUUUACCAAAAACUCACCCCGUGAGACAUAACGUAAUUCCUAAGAAUCUUCCCCUUUGUGACGCAGAAAUGAAACUGCUCGGUCGAACACUCGAACGCUCCUUUCACACGGCGCGACACGAGGCGAGGAGCGGCUGCCGAACGGCCAUUCGUCUGAAACUUGACCCUGUCGCACGAGACUUGAUCUCAUAUGAAACACAAAAAUAUGAGAGAGUUCUUGACGGAGUUUGACCGGACGACACGGCUCUAGUCAACCACCUCCGGGGUGAUGAUGAAGAAGAACAUGCUCCAGUUUUUGUAAGUUUAGGGUUAGUGGUUAGGGUUAGUGGUUAGGACAAUCUUCCAUUGUCCCCUUCGAUACAUCAGCUGACAACUGUUAAAGACGAACCAAUCGCGUAGAGACGGCUAAAUACUGUUGCUGGGUAUUUUCUCGGAUCAUGAGAUCCAUCGAAACCAAAGCGCUGACAACAACUCCACAAAUUUCUGUUGACAUUUGAAAGUUUUGACCAAAAGAUUUUCUUUCCCCGUUCUUCCGCUUUGUGUUGAGUGCAACAAGCCUUUCACACCAUCUCCGCCCUGCGAGGCUUCGAGGGAACCAUGUUGAAAUCAAAAAGCCAACAGUAUCCGCCCAUCCAACAAGACUUGGAUUUCUCUUUUCAACGUUAAUUUUCUCCUCCUCCAAAUCACGGAGGUUUGGGAUCGCAUUGCUGCCAGAUGGAUAAGUCAAUGCCAAACAAGCCACGAGUUGUACGUGUGCAAAAUAAAAGACUGUCAUUAAUUCAAACGCAGUUAAUAAUGGAUGAGGGAAGACAUCAGUGAAAAAGCUAUUUACGGUUUGAAGCGGCAGACGUAUGAAUAGAUGACCCUUCCCUCUCUCGCAGUGACAGUCGAGGGUUACUUUACAAAACUGUUGGCAGCGGAAGAUCUUCCUGUAGCAGACAGACAGAGCUGCUGUCACUCAACGGCGAGCUGUCACCCUCAGCUGAGAUACCACGAGUGUGUGUGUGUGUGUGUGUGUGUGUGUGUGUGUGUGUGUGUGUGUGUGUGUGUGUGUGUGUGUGUGUGUGUGUGUGUGUGUGUGUGUGUGUGUGUGUGUGUGUGUGUGUGUGCCUGUGUCAAUGUGACAGGUCUGAAUUAAUGAGAGGUAUGUGUCAAGGGGAGCGAGAGACGUUGAGGAGUAAGGAGGGCAAAGAUGGCUACUGAGUAGUGGCGACUACAGUGUGUGUGUGUGUGUGUGUGUGUGUGUGUGUGUGUGUGUGUGUGUGUGUGUGUGUGUGUGUGUGUGUGUGUGUGUGUGUGUGUGUGUGUGUGUGUGUGUGUGUGUGUGUGUGUGUGUGUGUGUGUGUGUGUGUGUGUGUGUGUGUGUGUGGGAAUGGCACUUAAAGGGAUAAUUUCAUUGUUUCCUGCCUGGUUAUUUCAAGUAAAGUCAGAAUUCAGAUGAAUCUUUUAAGUUACAGUCCUUGACAGUUUUCCUUAUUAAAACAUCUCCUGUCAUCUGCUCUUGGUUUCCAGCAACCAGUAUGUAAACGCUUUGAUAUUUUUUACUCCCAGAAAAAAGUCAGUCUCGAUGUUCUCUGGGAGAUACACUGUGUCAGUCAUGUUAUUCAUAUUCACGUGCGGCUUGAGACACGUGAAGACCUUGAGCAUAUAACACACAAACACGCAAAAAAAUUAAUUCAAUCCAAAGUAUUGGACAAAUUUAAGAUUUAGACCUGUUGAUGUGCUACUGUAGAUGGAACGAGAGAGGAACAGAGCAGAGCUGCCUCAUGAAAUUAAAAUUUAAUAAUGCAAUGUAGGAUUAUGUUUAAAACUGCCAGGCCUCCCAAAAUGCAACAAUUUUUUUCGAUUUUCCAUCCCAUAACCCCUUUUUGUAACCCCAAACAUAAAUCAUUGUAAAGUAAUAAACUAUUGUUUUAC